CCCUCUGUGCCUCAGUUCCCCAUCUGUAAAAUGGGAUCAGUACAUUAAAGACUGAGAGGUGCUCAGACAGGCAGAAAGGUCCACAUAGAUGCCUAAACACCUUUGAGGAUGUGGGCUGUUGCUCCUGAAAUGAAUGGGACAGGAGACACUGGAGUAGCUUGUGGAUGGCAUUAAAACACAUAUUGGUUACAUGAUUGCAAGGAGACUGUGUUGCAUUGAUUGUUCUUUUACAUCUAUCGCCAUGGUGCCUGUUAUGCUUUUAGAUUGUGUCUCAGUCUCAUGCUGAGUCCUGUCGUUUGAUUAAAGAUCAUUAAGCAGCACUGGGAUGAAACAUCACUGGAUGUCAGGUUUCAGAGUGGUAGCCCUGUUAGGGGGAGGAGCUUUUGGUUUGCACGGGGUACUUAAUACACAGGACAGUAAGACACAAAUUUUAAGUCACAGCACCUUUAAAGGGAGAAUGGGUUAGAAGGUGUUUCCAUGGGAUUCAGAGACACACUGUAGCUGGUGUCAAAGCCCCUCAGCUCCAUGCUGUGCUUCUUAUGUUCCCACAAAGCAAGAGAGGAGAAGAAGAAAGCUUGCUGUAGUGCUUCAUAUUGCUGAGUCAUUAACUUCUUUUUGCUGAGUCAUUCUGCAGCUGUGUCUGACAAACCAGGAAAAGACAAGCAGGAGAACUCAAGGUGGGUAGCAUCUGCAGACUGAGAUGGCUGGGCUGUAAAACUGGCUGAUUAUGUGAAAGAUGGAACUGGCCUCUGGAGGAGUGGUGAGCACCACACAUUGAAUUUAAAUCAGGCAGCAAUACUUUGAACAAAGAAAGGAGAGCUGCAGUGGCAGUCUGGAAUUGGCUAUUUUGUUUUAAUGCUAGAACUGUCCCACCCAGUGAUCUCUGUCAGGAUGGGAUAUUGUGUUAGGUCAUUGUGCAGCUGUUAUUAUCUGCAUUUGAACCUUGUUCUGCAAGUGUUUGCUACCCCAGACACUGCAAGGAGGCGCAUGAAAGCCAGAAAGUGAAAGUGAUUUAUCAUCUUCCAUUGUUGUAUGCAGCGUUGUUAUAACCAUGUUGGUCCAUGGCUAUUAGAGAGAGCACUUUCAAGCCACACAGAGCUCUUCUGAAGCAGCUCAAAAGCUUGUCUCUCUCACCAGUAAAAGUGAGUCCAAUAAAAGAUAUCACCUCACACACCAGGUCUCUCUAAAGUGAGUCAGUUUUACUGUUCAAGCUGAGUGAAAUACAAGAAAGCAGGGCCUAGAAAAAUUGUGAAAUGAGUCAUUUAAAAAAAACCUUUUGAGUUUCAUAAUCUUAGGUGUUACAUGUUACACAGGCAGGAAAGUGGGUUUUAAGUAAGAUUUAUUAUUUGACAGCAUGCUAUGUUAAUGGUUUUUUGCACUGGGGAAAUGAGGUGGAGUCCCCCGUGUAACUAAUAUUAACACAUCUAUAGUGCAUUUGUUUUUUAAAGCUACAGUAUUGAGAUUCAGGAUCUGGUUUUCAAAAGGAGCUCAGCACACUGGAUGCUGAAUUCUUUUGAAAAUCUGGCCUCAAGCAUGAUUGCUGAGCUCUCCAAAAUCUGAUCCUUUGGGGUUGUCUUUCAGAGGGGCUGUGCCUCCAGAACUCCAGAUGACGUCAAUAGCUGCAGGUGCUCAGGGCAUCUGGCAAUCAGGCUCAAAUUUAUAAAGCAUCACAAAACCCCUCCUUUGGAGGUAAAAAGUAGCCCUGUUUUCAGGUAGGAAAAAGGGAGGCAGAGACCUCAUAUGUUUUGCCCAAGACCAGACAGUCUAGUUGUAUUAUUCUGUGCUUCAGGUGGACUCGAAGAAUGCAUCACAAAUUAUUUUUUUUCCUCCUCCUGUAUUUUUAUUGCAGCUGGUUUACAUACAUAUGGUUGCAUGGUAAUGUUUGAAAUAAACACAACAAAAUUGCUA